UACAGAGGUCUCAAGCGUUGUUCGGAUUCAUUGGCGUAAAGGGUGCGCAGGCGGCGCGGUAACGUCGGGUGUGAAAUCUCGGAGCUUAACUCCGAACUGCAUUCGAUACUGCCGUGCUUGAGGACUGGAGAGGAGACUGGAAUUUACGGUGUAGCGGUGAAAUGCGUAGAUAUCGUAAGGAAGACCAGUGGCGAAGGCGGGUCUCUGGACAGUUCCUGACGCUGAGGCACGAAGGCCAGGGAGCAAACGGG
rnacentral:rRNA from 1 species